rnacentral:rRNA from 1 species
UUGACCUCGAAUCAGGUAGGAAUACCCGCUGAACUUAAGCAUAUCAAUAAGCGGAGGAAAAGAAACCAACCGGGAUUACCUCAGUAACGGCGAGUGAAGCGGUAACAGCUCAAAUUUGAAAUCUGGCUCCUCUGGAGUCCGAGUUGUAAUUUGUAGAAGAUGCUUUGGGUKGUGGGUUCGGCCUAAGUUCCUUGGAACAGGACGUCAUAGAGGGUGAGAAUCCCGUAUGUGGCCGAGGCCCGCGCCUAUGUAAAGCUCUUUCAACGAGUCGAGUUGUUUGGGAAUGCAGCUCAAAAUGGGUGGUAAAUUUCAUCUAAAGCUAAAUAUGGGCCAGAGACCGAUAGCGCACAAGUAGAGUGAUCGAAAGAUGAAAAGCACUUUGGAAAGAGAGUUAAACAGUACGUGAAAUUGUUGAAAGGGAAGCGCUUGCACCCAGACUUGGGCGCUGCCGAUCACCUUGAGUUCUCCUCAAGUGCACUCGACAGCGCACAGGCCAGCAUCGGUUCGGGUGGCUGGAUAAAGGCCGUAGGAACGUAGCUCUCUUCGGGGAGUGUUAUAGCCUACGGUGCCAUGCAGCCCAGCCGGACCGAGGACCGCGCCUUCGGGCUAGGAUGCUGGCGUAAUGGGUGUAAGCGACCCGUCUUGAAACACGGACCAAGGAGUCUAACAUCUAUGCGAGUGUUUGGGUGCUAAACCCAUACGCGGAAUGAAAGUGAACGUAGGUGAGAACCCCUUUGGGG